CCUUCCUUGUUUUUCCCGCCUAUAUACCACCGUCGUCAGCUUACCCUGUGAAGGCUUAAAUAGUAAGCAAAAUUGGCACAGCCCAAAACGUCAGGUCGAGGUGUAGCGUAUGGAGGGGGAAGAAAUGGGCUACAUUCCCUAAUCUAGCGCAUACGGACAACACGCUGAAACACGUAUUCGAAGGAGGAUUUAGCAGUAAGCAGAAAAUAGAGUGUUCUGCUGAAACUGGCCCUGAAGCGCGCACACACCGCCCGUCACUCUCCCCGAGCUUAAUUUUUAUGAAUAAGUAAAACCCCACAAUUGCAAAGGGGAGGCAAGUCGUAACAUGGUAAGUGUACCGGAAGGUGCGCUUGGAAAAA
rnacentral:rRNA from 1 species